UAGCGCUUUACAAUACAUACAUAAACAACUACAAAUAGAUCAAUGACACAAACAGAAGCUAACAAAACAAAAACAAAAAGGGAGAGGCUUUUUUGAACAGAUAAGACUUGAGGUGGUGGAUGAAAAUGGCAACAGAUUUGGAGUCACAGAUGAAUUGUGGAAGUGCAUUCCAAACCCCGACUUUUGUACUAGUUGUAGUUUAUGGAGAGAUGAAGAGUUAAUCCCAGAAGGGAGAGAAUUGCAAUAGUCAAGACGGGCAGAAGUGAAUGCAUGUAUUAGGGUUUCAGCGGCAGACUAUAAUUUGGCAAUAUUGCGGAGGUGGAAGAAUGAGGAUUUGAUGUGUUGUUUGAAGCUGAGUGAGGAGUCCAGUAUGACACAGAGAUUCCAUGUAUUAGGGGAAACAGAGUCAUCAAUAGUGAGGGUGAAGGUGCCGGCUUUGGUUAAUGUAGAUUUUGUACCAAGUAGUAGACGUUAAGCUUGAGGAAGUUCUGCUGCAGCCAGGUUUUUAUUGUUGCCAGGCAAGUUUCAAUAUGAGACAGAGGAAGAAAAGAGUUUGCGAGCACAGUUGAUGCUGUGGAGGGCUCACUGCGUUGUAGGAGGAGUUUGUUGAUAGUGAAGAACAAAGUCUGGGAGUUUGUGUUGGAGGUUUUGAUGGUGUCGGAGAUGAAAGAGGUUCUGGCAGCAUGAAGAGCAUCUCUGUACAAGGAGAGGUGAAGCUUAUAGGCUUCAACAUGAACAGUAAGGCCAGUUCUGGAUCGACGUUCAAGCCGGGGGUCCUCCUGCUUCAGCACGGAGCUCAGGCACAGUAAAAGUGGAAAAAAAGUUCUGACAUUAUUUAUCUUUGUCUCAUUCUUUUACAUCACAAAAACCUGGCAUUUUAACAGGGGUGUGUAGACUUUGAAAAAAAUCAUCAGCUGUUUCAGUAAGUAAGAGGAAGUUCAGGUUAUUGUCCAAUAUGAGUUCAUGAAGGAGGAGAGAUUUAUUGUUCACAGAACGGAAGAUUAAAAGAGCAAGAUUGGUAGUGUAACAGGGUAAACCUAAGGUUUGGGAAAGCGGUAGGGCACGGAGGCAGCUAAAAUCAACGGAGUGAGAGGAAGGAUAGAACUUGAUACGGGAGUUAGACCAGACAGAUCUUCUGUUGGUGCUGGUGUUAGCACUGCCCAACCAUUUGCGUCGGCAGCCUCGAUGGAUGUAGGGGCGUCGGCGUAGAAUGCCCAGUGAGCUGGCACGACUAGCUACUUCCGAAGAGAGGCGAUUGUUGUUGUUAAUAGAUUCCAGGGUGAAGGGAGAGUAGUGUUUGUCACAAGUAAAAACUGCAGGAGAGAACCAAAGUAAUCCAGGGUUAGGUGUUGCCAGGAGGAGCAUGGGGAGCAGAGUUGGCAGGUACAUGACAAUAAGAUAAGUUACCAGUAGAAGGGUUAGCAAUAGCAUCGGGCCAGGCCAAAUCACACCAACCAGCGGCAAGGCCGGCUAACAUAAACCCAGAAAAAGCACACCCUCGCCAGAACAACAAGUACAAGGAGAAAGUGUAAACUUUAUCAAUGUAAGUGAUAUCUGGGACACAGUGGUGGCAACCAGGAGGUGACCAGGAUGCCAGAACAAGAGCCAAAGAGAGAAUACCUUCGGGAGAGAAGCCGUGGAGCUAGCCGCUCUAUGUUUGGCUCAAGACUCUCAAUGCACAUUGUCCUGAGAACACCAUCCCAACCAUGGUGGCGGCAGCAUCAUGCUAUGGGGAAUCUUCUCUGCAUCAGGGCCUGGACAACUCGUGAAGAUAGAGGGAGAUUUCGGCCAACGGAUUAUUACAGGCGGAGAUUUGACAGAGUAGACUCCCUGCGUCUGGAGUCCCAAGCGUGGCAGUCCAGGACCCAUAAAGAUCCUUAGAUCCUUGAUCGGCUGGACUCUGAGACAGUUGGCACAGCGCCGGGUGGGAGCAAGGUGGGAUUUGGGAAUGGCUGAAUGGCAGAGCCGUCCCUUCAGCGCCACAUCCUGUGUGACGUCGCUGUGCUGGCAAUUAUGUGAUCAUGAAUGACUGAGAACAAUAACGUGUAAUGUGUAUGUGAAUAACGAUUAAAAAGCCUAAUCAUUGGCCCGAGUUGGUUCUUAAAUAGUUCUUCCUUCCCUCUUCUACUGAAGAACAAUACAAACUGC
ensembl:lncRNA